rnacentral:rRNA from 1 species
AUUGAACGCUGGCGGCAGGCCUAACACAUGCAAGUCGAGCGGAUGAGGGGGGCUUGUUCUGGGUUCCGGCGGGGGAGGGGGGUGAAUUGCUUGGGAAUCUCCUUGGCGUUGGGGGUUAACGUCGGGAACGGGCGGCUACUACGCCAUCCGCCCUGCGGGGGAAGGUGGGGGUUCUUGGGACCUCACCUUAUCAGGUGAGCUUAGGUCGGUUUAGCUAGUUGGUGGGGUAAGGCCCUACCAAGCCGAGGAUCCGUACCUGGUCUGAGAGAAUGAUCGGUCACACUGGAACGUAGACACGGUCCAGACUCCUGCGGGAGGCAGCAGUGUGGAAUAUUGGGCAAUGGGCGAAAGCCUGAUCCAGCCAUGCCGCGUGUGUGGAGAAGGUCUUCGGAUUGUAAAGCACUUUAAGUUGGGAGGAAGGGCAGUAAGUUAAUACCUUGCUGUAUUGACGUUACCAACAGAAGAAGCACCGGCUAACUUCGUG